rnacentral:rRNA from 1 species
UAUCUUGCGCAAUGGUGGAAACUCUGACGCAGCGACGCCUCGUGAGCGAUGAAUGUUUUCUGAUCUUAACUUUCUGUCCUUGGGGCAUCAGGUCUUCGGACUUGACGGUACCCAAGCAGAAAGCCCCGGCUCACUACGUGCCAGCAGCCGCGGUAAUACGUAGGGGGCACGCGUUGUCCGGACUUAUUGGGCAUAAAGGGUGCGUAGGCGCCCUUUUAAGUCAGAUGCGAAAGCCCGCGGCUUAACUGCGGGAUUGCAUUUGAAACUGGGAGGCUUGAGUAUCGGAGAGGGUAGUGGAAUUCCCAGUGUAGCGGUGAAAUGCGUAGAUAUUGGGAGGAACACCAGUGGCGAAGGCGACUGCCUGGACGAAAACUGACGCUGAGGCACGAAAGCUAGGGGAGCAAAC